GAAAUCCCUCGGGAUGUAAACUUCGCAAGAACGGGAAGAAUNAGUAGGGGACAACACCCCCUAUGAUGACGGUACCGUUUGUAAGCUCCGGCUAACUCCGUGCCAGCAGCCGCGGUAAUACGGGGGGAGCAAGCGUUGUUCGGAUUUACUGGGCGUAAAGGGCGCGUAGGCGGCCNNCNCAAGUCAGUUGUGAAAUCUCCGAGCUUAACUCGGAAAGGUCAACUGAUACUGCGNGGCUAGAGUGCGGAAGGGGCAACUGGAAUUCUUGGUGUAGCGGUGAAAUGCGUAGAUAUCAAGAGGAACACCUGCGGCGAAGGCGGGUUGCUGGGCCGACACUGACGCUGAGGCGCGAAAGCUAGGGGAGCGAACGGGAUUAGAUACCCCGGUAGUCCUAGCCUUAAACGAUGAAUGCUUGGUGUCUGGGGUUAUAUAGUCCCCGGGUGCCGUCGCUAACGCUUUAAGCAUUCCGCCUGGGGAGUACGGUCGCAAGACUGAAACUCAAA
rnacentral:rRNA from 1 species